AACAACAUCUUGAAGGACUGAGUAACUAGAACUUCUAUUGAUAAAGAGAGCCAGCGUGGUGGUGAAAGUUGGCAAAUAGGAGCUAGUGAAUAUGGGUUUGGAACGAUGACCGGUGGUGAUAUUUAGCUAUCGGCGGGGCUGCAUCCGUUAACAGUGCAGGCUAUUUUUUGAUAGCCAGUGAGGUUGAUUACGUAAGUGAUCAGCGAAUUAAAGGUGGUAACGCGAGCACUCGUCCUUUUG
rnacentral:ncRNA from 1 species